UGGCUAUAUACAGGGAGUACCAGGUAAUACCAUGGCUAUAUACAGGGAGUACCAGGUAAUAACAUGGCUAUAUACAGGGAGUACCAGGUAAUAACAUGGCUAUAUACAGGGAGUACCAGGUAAUAACAUGGCUAUAUACAGGGAGUACCAGGUAAUAACAUGACUAUAUAC